CGGAGUUGCUUAAUCUUCAAGCAUUUAUCUCUCCCUAUAUAUGUGUGUGAUUCCGUAUGAUAAAUAUCCUGUGUUCUACUUGGGAAAAGGAAAAAAAAAAUUAGUCCAUUUUGAGGAAAUUUAGGAAAAUUUGGGGAACCGUUUUCCACAGGAGUUUCUUAAUCUUCAAGCAUUUAUCUCUGCCUAUAUAUAUGUAUCAUCUUUG
rnacentral:lncRNA from 1 species